AACAAUAAUUCAUUCAAUCCCCACGCAGCAAAGAUUGUUGUCAGUAUUAUUAUAUGUUAUGGGUAAUAUUAUACAAAAAAUUAAGAAUAUUUUCCCUUCUCUAAUAAUGCGAGCUCCUCCAGUAAGGAUGCCAACUGAAAAUGAUACCAAAGAGGACGAAAUAUUUCAAAAUGCUAUAGACCGCAUGAAUGCCUAUAAAAAGUUGUACGAUCCUCCGAUCCGUAAGAUUACCGUUGAUGAUUUUUUAAAAUGGGUCAUUAAGGAAUAUCCAGUUGUUAGAGGCAAUAUUGAUGACUUCCAUCUGGAUGAACCGGAUGAGCUAAAAAAUAACUAUAAGAAAGAUGUCAUGUCCGUAAUUUUGAAAAAAAAAUAUUGAAUAAAUAAAAAAACAGUAAUU